GCCUCUUUAGCUCAGAGGUAGAGCACUGGUCGCGUAAAACAGGGAUCGUGGGUUCGAACCUCACAGGAAACA